AUUGAAAGUUGGGUAUCUAAUUGGAGGAUUUUGGAUUACCAAAUUUGUCUUUGGUUUUUGUUUCUGCCUGUAAUGUUGUGAUGGUUCAUAUAACCUAUAUUAGUGUAAAAAUGAGUAACUGAUGCAUAAAUGCAAGUAAGAACUGUAUUAAGUUGCUAAAUCUGUUGUUGGAGGGACAGAACAGCACUUAAUCACAAUUUAAUUUACAUCACCAAAAUGUUGAAUGAGAACAGGUUGGAUGUGCAAUGCUGCAACUUAUACUGAAGAUACCAUAAACCUUAUAAUUUUUUUUUUUAUAUUUGUAUAAUUAUUCAUGACAGG
rnacentral:misc_RNA from 1 species